AACGAACGCUGGCGGCGUGGAUAAGACAUGCAAGUCGAGGCGCUAAUUUAAGGGUAGCAAUAUUCUUAAGUUGGAGCGGCGCAAGGGUGCGUAACACGUGGGUAAUUUGCCGUGAAGUUGGGGAUAACUUGCUGAAAGGCGAGCUAAUACCGAAUGUGACGUUUGGAAGGCAUCUUCCGAAUUUCAAAGCUGGGGACCGCAAGGCCUGGCGCUUCACGAUAAGCCCGCGGCCUAUCAGCUAGUUGGUGAGGUAAUGGCUCACCAAGGCUAAGACGGGUAGCUGGGUCUGAGAGGACGACCAGCCACACUGGGAACUGAGACACGGGUCCAGACACCUAUGGGUGGCAGCAGUCGAG
rnacentral:rRNA from 1 species